UGGGGAAUAUUGGACAAUGGGCGAAAGCCUGAUCCAGCCAUGCCGCGUGUGUGAAGAAGGUCUUCGGAUUGUAAAGCACUUUAAGCGAGGAGGAGGGUACUGGUAUUAAUACUACCAGCUACUGGACGUUACUCGCAGAAUAAGCACCGGCUAACUCUGUGCCAGCAGCCGCGGUAAUACAGAGGGUGCGAGCGUUAAUCGGAUUUACUGGGCGUAAAGCGUGCGUAGGCGGCUAAUUGAGUCGGAUGUGAAAUCCCCGAGCUUAACUUGGGAAUUGCAUUCGAUACUGGUUAGCUAGAGUGUGGGAGAGGAUGGAAGAAUUCCAGGUGUAGCGGUGAAAUGCGUAGAGAUCUGGAGGAAUACCGAUGGCGAAGGCAGCCAUCUGGCCUAACACUGACGCUGAGGUACGAAAGCAUGGGGAGCAAACAGG
rnacentral:rRNA from 1 species